AGAAGCUGGUGCAGAAUUGUUGUUAAAUUGCUUGGAAGAAUUCACAGGGUUAUCUGCUUUGGGUGACUGGUUGUGAAAGGUAAAGGACAGACGAGACUGGAAUUACUCCCACAUUUCUGGCUUCAGCCACUGAGUGGGUGAUGCUGCCAGUAAUAAGAUUAGUUUGUGUGAGUGGUGGUGGAACAGAGGUGUAUGCCUGUCACUCUGUUGAAAAUUUCCCAUCAAAGUUCUCAAAGACCUUAGGUGGCUAAAUUCAAUGGUCAACGAACAGUCUUCAUUUUCUGUGACCUAAAUGCAGCAUUUGAUAGAUGUGAUCACUCCUGUCUCUUGACAUACUCUCCUCACUUGACAUCCAGGCAUCAAUUAUCUUAUUUUUUUUUAUUUAUACCUUGCACCCAUGGUGAUUUUCACCCUAGUCUUAUGACCUGGACCUCUCCCCAGAACUACAGACUGUAUGACUGUAUAUCCAACUACAUAUUCAACAUCUCCACCUGGAUGUCUAGUUAGCAUUCAAAACCAAGCUUCACACCUGUCAGAGUGGCUUAAGUUAAUAACUCAGGAAACAACAGAUGUUGGUGAGGAUGUGGGGAAAGGGGAACCCGUUUACACUGUUGGUGGGAAUGCAAACUGGAGCAGCCACUCUGGAAAACAGUAUGGAAGUUUCUUAAAAAAUUAAAAAUAGAACUACCCUAUGACCCAGCAAUUGCACCACUAGAUAUUUAUCCAAAGGAUACAAAAAUGCUGAUUUGAAGGGGCACAUGAACCCUGAUGUUAUAGCAGCACUAUCAACAAUAGCCAGAUUAUGCAAAGAGCCCAAAUGCCCGUUGACUGAUGAAUGGAUAAAGAAGAUGUGGUAUACAUGUACGAUGGAAUACUACCUGGUGAUGAAAAAGAAUGAAAUCUUGCCAUUUACAAUGGUGUGGAUGGAACUAGAGGGUAUUAUGCUAAGCCGACAAAGUCAGUCAGAGAAAGACAAACAUCAGAUGAUUUCUCUCAUAUGUGGAAUUUAAGAAACACAGCAGAUGAACUUAGGGGAAGGAAGGAAAAAUAAGAUAAAAAUGCAGAGGGAACAAACCAUAAGAGACUCUUAAAUUCAGAGAACAAACUGAGGGGUGCUGGAGGGGAGAUUGGUGGGGAGAUGGGUUAAAAGGGUGAUGGGCAUUAAGGAGGGCACUUUUGGGGAUGAACACUGGGUGUCCUAUGUAAGACAUGAACCACUGGGUUCUACUACUGAAACCAAGAAUACAUUGUGUGUUAACUAACUUGAAUUUAAAUAAAAAAUAAAAUAAAAUGAAGUUAAAAACACAAGCUCCUGAUAUUCCACCCCAGUACUUAACCCUUCCAAAAUCUUCCUCAUCCCAGCAAGUAACAACUCUGUGCUAACAGUUUCCAAGGCCUAGUACUCCAGAAUUAUCCUUGAUCCUUCUAUUGUUCUCUUACUCUACAUCUGAUUUCUUAGCAAGUACUGUUGGCUCCACCUUCAAAAUAUAUCCAGGAUCUGGUCACUUCCUACCACCUCCACUGCUAACUCCUUAGGGCCUGCCA